CUAUAACCAUAUAAGGAAAAUCAUUAAUUUUACUUUUUCACGCUACUAAUUUGCACUCCACGAGCACAUAUUUCAAAGAUAAUGCUAUCAGUUACGUUCGCAAAUAAAUCUAAAUCUAAUAUUCAGUAUAGUUUGCACGAAAUUAUGCACUCACUACUGGCACUAUGCUAACGUAAACGAAAUUGAAACAUUCUUUAUAUACGUAAACUAUAUUUAAACGAAACAUAAAACGCAAGCUUAGAGUCUCUAAAAUCGGAGACGCAACCAUAACAGUUCACAAAUGGUUCCUCUUAAUUAAUUUCUUCUCGUAAUUUGUGGAAAAACUGUCACCUGUCAAUGUUAGAGGCAAUAGCGGCGCCAUCUUUUCUGUUACAUAUAACUUUGUUUUUAAUAUUCAUUUUUAAUUUAUCCAUUUAUGAUAUUUUACAGAUUGUUGGACAGAAUGGAGGUUAGACCGUACUGUGUGUUGGAUGUACAUAAACAGUUUGAAGUAUUUACCAGUGUUGGUAAGACAAUGAUGGAACACUGCUGAUAGUAAAGUCAGUGUAAAGAUCACAACUCAUUACGUUAGCUCUAUCCUUUGUCAAGCAUAAAUUUCUUAAGAAUAAAUUAUACGACGCUGAAAAUAUACAAGUACAUCCAGCAUUCCAUGAAGUGAUAGUCUUGUAUCAAAUAGAUGAUACAAAAUCAGAACUUAUAUUGUCACCUAAUCAUCCAUUAGAAUCAGCUACUGUUAAAUAUGAACAAUACGCAGGUAGAGCAAAUUUGAGGAAUUGUCACAUCCAGUGAUCUAUAUUUCUGGUACACCAGAAUAAAUCAAUACAUAAUAGCCUUGUAUCAUGGAAAAGAAAUUUGGAUAAAAAAUUCACUGGUGUGGAAGAAUGUUGUACAUAUUAUAGUAUUUUUCAAACAAAUACAUAUCAAAUACCAAAAUUAUCCUGUCAUACGUGCCGCAAGAAAUUUCAUGUUUGCGUGGUUUAAUACAAAUCAAAAUUUCACGUGUCCCAUGUGUAGAAAUACAUUUUACUAUGUUAUACUAUUUAUAUUAAGAAUUUCUACUUUUAUUUAAUUUGAUAAAUAUUUGAUAAAAUAAUUUGACUAAAUAGAAAUUCCUAAUAUAAUUAAUAUAACAUAGUAAAAUUUGUUUGUGCAUAUAUUAAACUUACGGACAUUUUUUGUAUAUAGAAAAAUUUAUCUGUACAUAAUAAAAUUUGUUUGUACAAACAUUAGAUUUAUGGUUUCUUGUAUAUAAUUGUAAAUUUAUCUGUACAUAAUAAAAUUUAUUAGAAAUUUAUCUCUAGAAUUACGGGCAUUUUUUGUAUAUCUAUUUUUACGUCGAACUGAUGUUCGUAGAAAUAGAUACAAAACUUCAAAAUUUUCGUAUUAUUUUAUUAAUAAAAGUCAGUAAAAAUUGCCAAGAAAAGACCGUAAAAA